rnacentral:rRNA from 1 species
GAUCCUGGCUCAGGAUGAACGCUAGCUACAGGCUUAACACAUGCAAGUCGAGGGGAAACGACAUCGAAAGCUUGCUUUUGAUGGGCGUCGACCGGCGCACGGGUGAGUAACGCGUAUCCAACCUGCCUACCACUUGGGGAUAACCUUGCGAAAGUAAGACUAAUACCCAAUGACAUCCCACGAAGGCAUCCGAAUGGGAUUAAAGAUUUAUCGGUGAUGGAUGGGGAUGCGUCUGAUUAG